rnacentral:rRNA from 1 species
UACAGAGGUCUCAAGCGUUGUUCGGAUUCAUUGGGCGUAAAGGGUGCGUAGGCGGCGCGGUAAGUCGGGUGUGAAAUCUCGGAGCUUAACUCCGAAACUGCAUUCGAUACUGCCGUGCUUGAGGACUGGAGAGGAGACUGGAAUUUACGGUGUAGCGGUGAAAUGCGUAGAUAUCGUAAGGAAGACCAGUGGCGAAGGCGGAUCUCUGGGCCUUGCCUGACGCUGAGGCGCGAAAGCUAGGGGAGCGAACAGG